rnacentral:other from 1 species
UAUCCUGCUGUGUUCGUUAAAUCUAUUUAAUUCAACCGACAUAGAAUAUAAGGGAUUCUUCCCUGACGGCGGAUAAAAAGCCUCCAUAGAGAGGACUUUAGAAACCGUUAUUAAGACACCCACCUUUGUUGAGGCGGGUAUGAAUUAAAUAGGCGACGGCACGGCGGAAUUU